UGGGGAAUAUUGCACAAUGGGCGAAAGCCUGAUGCAGCGACGCCGCGUGCGGGAUGAAGGCCUUCGGGUUGUAAACCGCUUUUAAUUGGGAGCAAGCGAGAGUGAGUGUACCUUUUGAAUAAGCACCGGCUAACUACGUGCCAGCAGCCGCGGUAAUACGUAGGGUGCAAGCGUUAUCCGGAAUUAUUGGGCGUAAAGAGCUCGUAGGCGGUUUGUCACGCCUGGUGUGAAAGUCCAUCGCUUAACGGUGGAUCUGCGCCGGGUACGGGCAGGCUAGAGUGCAGUAGGGGAGAUUGGAAUUCCCGGUGUAACGGUGGAAUGUGUAGAUAUCGGGAAGAACACCAAUGGCGAAGGCAGAUCUCUGGGCUGUUACUGACGCUGAGGAGCGAAAAGCAUGGGGAGCGAACAGGAUUAGAUACCCU
rnacentral:rRNA from 1 species